UACGAAGGGGGCUAGCGUUGCUCGGAAUCACUGGGCGUAAAGCGCACGUAGGCGGCUUUUUAAGUCAGGGGUGAAAUCCUGGAGCUCAACUCCAGAACUGCCUUUGAUACUGAGAGCUUGAGUUCGGGAGAGGUGAGUGGAACUGCGAGUGUAGAGGUGAAAUUCGUAGAUAUUCGCAAGAACACCAGUGGCGAAGGCGGACUCACUGGCCCGGUACUGACGCUGAGGUGCGAAAGCGUGGGGAG
rnacentral:rRNA from 1 species